UACGGAGGGUGCGAGCGUUGUCCGGAAUCACUGGGCGUAAAGGGCGCGUAGGCGGCUUCUUAAGCGUGCGGUGAAAGCCCGGGGCUCAACCCCGGGUCGGCCGUGCGAACUGGGAAGCUCGAGCCCACUAGAGGCAGGCGGAAUUCCGGGUGUAGCGGUGGAAUGCGUAGAGAUCCGGAAGAACACCGGUGGCGAAGGCGGCCUGCUGGGGUGGAGCUGACGCUGAGGCGCGACAGCGUGGGGAGCAAACAGG
rnacentral:rRNA from 1 species